CCUACGGGCGGCAACAGUGGGGAAUAUUGCACAAUGGGGGAAACCCUGAUGCAGCGACGCCGCGUGAGCGAAGAAGUAUUUCGGUAUGUAAAGCUCUAUCAGCAGGGAAGAAAAUGACGGUACCUGAGUAAGAAGCUCCGGCUAAAUACGUGCCAGCAGCCGCGGUAAUACGUAUGGAGCAAGCGUUAUCCGGAUUUACUGGGCGUAAAGGGAGCGUAGGCGGCCUGCCAAGUCUGAUGUGAAAUACCGGGGCUCAACCCCGGGGCUGCAUUUGAAACUGGCAGGCUGGAGUGCCGGAGAGGCAGGCGGAAUUCCUAGUGUAGCGGUGAAAUGCUUAGAGAUCAUCCAGAACACCGAUUGCGAAGGCAGCUUACCAAUCUAUAUCUGACGUUGAGGCACGAAAGCGUGGGGAGCAAACAGGAUUAGAUACCCCUGUAGUC
rnacentral:rRNA from 1 species